CAGCUUGCCUAAGAUCACACACUUGUAGGAGGCAGAGCUGGGAUUCUUACUGUAAAGGCAACCAGUUUAGCCACUGUGCUAUUCUGCCUACAUGCAAAUAAUGAAUGAACAGAGAGACACUCACACCUACAAACAGAAGCAAGAGGAACCUAAUACUCUUCCUCAUUGGCCUUCCUGUCUCCAUCUUUAUUCCUUCCAGCUCAUUCUCUACAUGACACUGUGAAUGCCAAACUGUCUGGAGGCUGCCAUGAGCGGCCAAUUUGUGAUCUCUGCUUUACCUGAAUUAUUUCCGUGAAUUGUGACAUCAACCUCGCCAGAUAAGAAAGAAGACUGAAGUUCAGAGAGGUGAAGGGACUGGCUCAGGGGCUACCCCUAUGGUUGCGGGAGCUAAGAUUCCAGCCCAGCAGCGUGAUCCAGAGCCCAUCUGAGCUACCCAGAUCUUCCUGCUGUUAAACCCGUCCUGGGGCAGCUCUUGCCUGAUGGGCUACCUGAGGAACCCACAGGAAAUCAAGGGAGGUGCCUGCAAAGUUGCCGUGGGGUCACAGCCUGCCCUUUGGAAGGGGCUGUUUCUGGGCUGCUGUGACUUCCUGCCAUUAUUUCCUCUCUGUUCUCCCUCUGGAAUGAAUAAAGUACUUCUGAAAAACCAUCAACCCAGUCGAUACGGAAAUGCUGGUCCCUACAAUAGAAUGCUCUGUGGUCAUUAAAAAGAUUAAAAAGGUCAA
rnacentral:lncRNA from 10 species